GCGGCGUGCUUAACACAUGCAAGUCGAGCGAAGCACUUUUUUAGAACUCUUCGGAGGGAAGAGAGGGUGACUUAGCGGCGGACGGGUGAGUAACGCGUGGGCAACCUGCCUUACACAGGGGGAUAACAAUUAGAAAUGAUUGCUAAUACCGCAUAAGACCCCGGUACCGCAUGGUACAGAGGUAAAAACUGAGGUGGUGUAAGAUGGGCCCGCGUCUGAUUAGGUAGUUGGUGGGGUAGAAGCCUACCAAGCCGACGAUCAGUAGCCGACCUGAGAGGGCGACCGGCCACAUUGGGACUGAGACACGGCCCAAACUCCUACGGGAGGCAGCAGUGGGGAAUAUUGCACAAUGGGGGAAACCCUGAUGCAGCGACGCCGCGUGAGUGAGGAAGUAUUUCGGUAUGUAAAGCUCUAUCAGCAGGGAAGAAAAUGACGGUACCUGACUAAGAAGCCCCGGCUAACUACGUGCCAGCAGCCGCGGUAAUACGUAGGGGGCAAGCGUUAUCCGGAUUUACUGGGUGUAAAGGGAGCGUAGACGGAUAAGCAAGUCUGAUGUGAAAAUCCGGGGCCCAACCCCGGAAUUUGCAUUGGAAAAUGCAUUAUCUGAGUGUUCGAGAGGCAAAGGGAAAUUCCCGGGGUAGCGGUGGAAUGGGGUAGAUAUCAGGAGAAACACCCAGUGGCGAAGGCGGCUUGCGGGACGAUGACUAACGUUAAGGCUCGAAAGGGUGGGGAGCAAACAGGAUUAGAUACCCUGGUAGUCCACGCCGUAAACGAUGACUACUAGGUGUCGGGAGGCAAAGCCUUUUGGGGCCGCAGCCAACGCAAUAAGUAGUCCACCUGGGGAGUACGUUCGCAAGAAUGAAACUCAAAGGAAUUGACGGGGACCCGCACAAGCGGUGGAGCAUGUGGUUUAAUUCGAAGCAACGCGAAGAACCUUACCUGGCCUUGACAUCCCGGUGACAGCGAAGUAAUGUUUGUUUUCCUUCGGGACACUGGAGACAGGUGGUGCAUGGUUGUCGUCAGCUCGUGUCGUGAGAUGUUGGGUUAAGUCCCGCAACGAGCGCAACCCUUACCUUCAGUAGCCAGCAUUUAGGAUGGGCACUCUGGAGGGACUGCCAGGGACAACCUGGAGGAAGGUGGGGAUGACGUCAAAUCAUCAUGCCCCUUAUGGCCAGGGCUACACACGUGCUACAAUGGCGUAAACAAAGAGAAGCGACCACGUGAGUGUGAGCGAAUCUCAAAAAUAACGUCUCAGUUCGGAUUGUAGUCUGCAACUCGACUACAUGAAGUUGGAAUCGCUAGUA
rnacentral:rRNA from 1 species